GACCGCACCGGUAGCCUAGUGGUAAGAGCGUCCGCCUCGGAGGCGGAAAGUUGUAGAUUUGAUUCCCGGCCGAGUCA